rnacentral:ncRNA from 1 species
AAGCGGGGACGACCCCGCCACUCCAUGUCGAUCCGGGGACGUCCCCU